UCCCCGUUACCGGGGCAGUCUGAUAAGAAAAUACAACUUAUCACGAGGGUUGCGCUCGUUGAAGGACUUAACCUAACAUCUCACGACACGAGCUGACGACGGCCAUGCAUCACCUGUCACCGAGUUCCUUGCGGCACAGUCUAAUUUCUUAGACCUUCUCGGGAUGUCAAGCCUUGGUAAGGUUCUUCGCGUAGCAUCGAAUUAAACCACACGCUCCACCGCUUGUGCGGGUCCCCGUCAAUUCCUUUGAGUUUUAAGCUUGCGCUCGUACUCCCCAGGCGGCUUGCUUAACGCGUUAGCUUCACUACAGAACGGGUCGAAUCGUCCUACAGUCAGCAAGCAUCGUUUACGGCGUGGACUAC
rnacentral:misc_RNA from 1 species